AAAUAUUUGCAUUCACCCUGAUAAUUACAGCGCAAUUUUCAAAAUGGGGCAGAGGAAAUACAGACCAAGAAGAAACAGAUAGAGUCAGCAUUUAACCUACAUGCAGACAACACUCCAGCAUAUCAGAAGGUUCAUGAAUACACAAAGUUAACCAUUCAGAACCUUCAGUCUGCUGUUUACUACAGAUUUAAAGACACUGCUCAGGGGUUCCAUGGACAGGAAGGUGAAAUUCAUGAUGCUAGCUUGAAUAACUUCCUCUCGAAGUGCCGCUGGCUGAGC